UAUAGCAUUUGUAUAUAUAUGCAUACAAUGGUGUCACAUGUGAAAAAAGAGAGAAGUGGUUCCUUGUUCUCUCUUUUUUCACACGCGACACCAUUGUAUGCAUAUAUAUACAAAUGCUACAU